UUUUUUCCCGUGUAAUUUAAGCAUAAAAGUAGGUGGGGGAACCACCACCAAAUUGGAUUGCUCAAGUAAUGGCGAAUGAAUGAGCACACAUUCAACAUGAAAAACAAAUUGUUAUGAUUUUGUAUUGUAAUUUCAUGAUGCAGCAUUAAUGGAACUGCAUGAACAGAUAUUCUUGAAACGGCAUGUCAAAGAUGGUGAAAGCCCAAUGGCUUCAUGUGCUUUCUGUGCACGGUCUGCAUUUGGUGAUUCACAUUCCUUGGCAAUGGAAUGCAAACAGGUGGUAAAUUCCAUCCAAUAUAACAAUACAACAUUGAGGCUGAUAACAAACAAGUACCAUGAGGGAAAUAUGAAAAGGACUUUGAAAAGAAAAUUAAAAAAGUUUGCAUUUGCUUGGCAUAAAACAAAUUAAUGUUGUCAUGGCCAAAAGAUUGUUGCAUUUCUGGGUGUGUGCCAACAUUGCUCAGCAAGUGUAAUGCUUCUUUCCCCCCACAAAGCUGUUGCAUUCAUGGAUCAUUCUUGUUUGGUGCUGGCAAUAUGUGUUGCAUAGUGGUGCUCUGUUUGCAUUUCUGAUUUCUGAUGUUAUGCGCACGCCUUUUGAAGCUGGACAGACAUGGCUGGGUGGUUUGUGUAUCUUCUUGGAGGAGUGGCUUGUGUGCUACAAAGAAGAGCC
rnacentral:rRNA from 1 species